AGCAGCCGCGGUAAUUCCAGCUCCAAUAGCGUAUAUUAAAGUUGUUGCAGUUAAAAAGCUCGUAGUUGAAUUUCGGGAUCAAUAUAUCGGUCGUGCCAUUGGUACGUACUGGUAUCAUUGGUUUCUCCUUUCUGACGAACCAUGAUGUCAUUAAUUUGGUGUUAUGGGAAGUUAGGACUGUUACUUUGAAAAAAAUUAGAGUGUUUAAAGCAGGCUUUAGCUUGAAUACAUUAGCAUGGAAUAAUGAAAUAGGACGUUCGAACCUAUUUUGUUGGUUUCUAGGAUCAACGUAAUGAUUAAUAGGGAUAGUUGGGGGCAUUAGUAUUCAAUUGUCAGAGGUGAAAUUCUUGGAUUUAUUGAAGACUAACUACUGCGAAAGCAUUUGCCAAGGAUGUUUUCAUUAAUCAAGAACGAAAGUUAGGGGAUCGAAGACGAUCAGAUACCGUCGUAGUCUUAACCAUAAACUAUGCCGACUAGGGAUCGGAUGAUGUUAAUUUUUUAAUGACUCAUUCGGCGCCUU
rnacentral:rRNA from 1 species